AUCCAGCUGACGAAUUUAAAAUAGAACGAAACGCGCGUCCUGGAU
rfam:Schistosoma mattheei strain Denwood, Zambia genome assembly, scaffold: SMTD_scaffold0005107